rnacentral:rRNA from 1 species
GGGGGGGGGGGGGGGGGGGCGGAGGGGGGGGGGGGCGGGCGGUGGGGGGGGGGCGUGCGCGGCUGGAGUAGUGGCGGACGGGUGAGUAACACGUGAGCAAUCUGCCCCUGACUCCGGAAUAACUACGGGAAACUGUAGCCAAUACCGGAUAUGCGCCGUACAGGCAUCUGUAUCCGUGGGAAAGAAUUUCGGUCAGGGAUGAGCUCGCGGCCUAUCAGCUUGUUGGUGGGGUAACGGCUCACCAAGGCGACGACGGGUAGCCGGCCUGAGAGGGUGACCGGCCACAUUGGGACUGAGACACGGCCCAGACUCCUACGGGAGGCAGCAGUGGGGAAUAUUGCACAAUGGGCGCAAGCCUGAUGCAGCAACGCCGCGUGAGGGAUGACGGCCUUCGGGUUGUAAACCUCUUUUAGCAGGGAAGAAGCGAAAGUGACGGUACCUGCAGAAAAAGCGCCGGCUAACUACGUG